rnacentral:rRNA from 1 species
GUGAAAUGCGCAGAUAUCAGGAGGAACACCGAUGCCGAAGGCAGGUUUCUGGGCCACCACUGACGCUGAGGAGCGAAAAGCGUGGGGAGCGAACAGGAUUAGAUACCCUGGUAGUCCACGCCGUAAACGGUGGGCGCUAGAUGUGGGGACCCUUCCAUGGUUUCUGCGUCGCAGCUAACGCAUUAAGCGCCCCGCCUGGGGAGUACGGUCGCAAGACUAAAACUCAAAGGAAUUGACGGGGGCCCGCACAAGCAGCGGAGCAUGCGGCUUAAUUCGAUGCAACGCGAAGAACCUUACCUAGACUUGACAUAUACGGAAAACAUGCAGAGAUGUAUGGUCCUAACGGGCCGUUUACAGGUGGUGCAUGGUUGUCGUCAGCUCGUGUCGUGAGAUGUUGGGUUAUGUCCCGCAACGAGCGCAACCCUCGUUCUAUGUUGCCAGCACGUAAUGGUGGGGACUCAUAGGAGACUGCCGGGGUCAACUCGGAGGAAGGUGGGGAUGACGUCAAAUCAUCAUGCCCCUUAUGUCUAGGGCUGCACGCAUGCUACAAUGGCUGGUACAAAGGGCUGCGAUACCGCAAGGUGGAGCGAAUCCCAAAAAGCCAGUCUCAGUUCGGAUUGGGGUCUGCAACUCGACCCCAUGAAGUUGGAGUUGCUAGUAAUCGCAGAUCAGCAACGCUGCGGUGAAUACGUUCCCGGGCCUUGUAGACACCGCCCGUCACGUCACGAAAGUCGGUAACACC